UACGGAAGGCAGCAGUGGGGAAUAUUGCACAAUGGGCGCAAGCCUGAUGCAGCCAUGCCGCGUGUAUGAAGAAGGCCUUCGGGUUGUAAAGUACUUUCAGUCGUGAGGAAGGUGUUAAGGUUAAUAACCUUAGCAAUUGACGUUAGCGACAGAAGAAGCGCCGGCUAACUCCGUGCCAGCAGCCGCGGUAAUACGGAGGGUGCGAGCGUUAAUCGGAAUUACUGGGCGUAAAGGGCACGCAGGCGGUUAAUUAAGUUGGAUGUGAAAUCCCCGGGCUUAACCUGGGAAUGGCAUUCAAGCUGGUUAGCUAGAGUCUUGUAGAGGGGGUAGAAUUCCAUGUGUAGCGGUGAAAUGCGUAGAGAUGUGGAGGAAUACCGGUGGCGAAGGCGGCCCCUGGGACAAAGACUGACGCUCAUGUGCGAAAGCGUGGGGAGCAAAC
rnacentral:rRNA from 1 species